rnacentral:rRNA from 1 species
AGGACGAACGCUGGCGGCGUGCCUCAAACAUGCAAGUCGAGUGUGGACGCACUCUCUCGCAAGAGAGGGUGCGUUCUAGCGGCGAACGGGUGAGUAACACGUGGGAAACUUGCCCUCCAGACGGGGACAACCUCGGGAAACCGGGGCUAAUACCGGAUACGKUUCGCUGGGUCGCAUGGCCCGGCGAGGAAAGGGUCGCAAGACCGCUGGAGGAGAGUCCCGCGGYCUAUCAGCUUGUUGGSCGGGGUAACGGCCCACCAAGGCGAUGACGGGUAGCUGGCCUGAGAGGGUGGUCAGCCACACUGGAACUGAGACACGGUCCAGACUCCUACGGGAGGCAGCAGUUGGGAAUCUUGGGCAAUGGGCGAAAGCCUGACCCAGCGACGCCGCGUGGGGGAUGAAGGCCUUCGGGUUGUAAACCCCUGUCAGGAGGGACGAAGCCGAAAGGUGACGGUACCUCCAGAGGAAGCCCCGGCUAACUACGAGCCAGCAGCCGCGGUAAGACGUAGGGGGCGAGCGUUGUCCGGAAUUACUGGGCGUAAAGCGCGUGCAGGCGGCCUUGUAAGUCCCGUGUGAAAGCCUACGGCUUAACCGUAGGAGGCCGCGGGAUACUGUUUGGCUUGAGGGCAGGAGAGGGAAGUAGAAUUCCCGGUGUAGCGGUGAAAUGCGUAGAUAUCGGGAGGAAUGCCAGUGGCGAAGGCGGCUUCCUGGCCUGUCCCUGACGCUGAGACGCGAAAGCUGGGGGAGCAAACGGGAUUAGAUACCCCGGUAGUCCCAGCCGUAAACGAUGGUCACUAGGUGUUGGGGGGUACCCCUUCAGUGCCGAAGCUAACGCAUUAAGUGACCCGCCUGGGGAGUACGGCCGCAAGGUUG